rnacentral:rRNA from 1 species
UACGUAGGUCCCGAGCGUUGUCCGGAUUUAUUGGGUUUAAAGGGUGCGUAGGCGGAUUGAUAAGUUAGAGGUGAAAUGUCCGAGCUCAACUCGGGAACUGCCUCUAAUACUGUUGAUCUAGAGAGUAGAUGCGGUAGGCGGAAUGUAUGGUGUAGCGGUGAAAUGCUUAGAGAUCAUACAGAACACCGAUUGCGAAGGCAGCUUACCAAUCUAUAUCUGACGUUGAGGCACGAAAGCGUGGGGAGCAAACAGG